AAUGUCCUCCAUGUCCGACCCACUCGGUGUAGUAGUGGUUUCUCUAACCACUCCUAUUCGGACAGCGCAAACUAAGUAGAGGAGACGAGCCAGAGUUCAGAGCAACGUCUCCUAAUGCGACUCACUCACUCUCUCUCUUCCGAUCUCCUCUCUCCCAAAUUAUCCGAUCGUAGCUAAGACCUCUGCUACUACUACUAUGGCUGUUCCUGUGGAAGAAGCCAUUGCGGCGCUAUCUACAUUCUCACUCGAGGAUGAGCAAGCACAAGUGCAAGGACCAGGAAUUUGGGUGUUAACGGAGUGCAAUGUACACCCAAAAAUAGAAUAGGGGGUGCACCAUAGAAUUUCUCUCUAAUUUUGUGCUAAUAUAAUUAGUAAAGAUAUUUGUGUAAAUUUAUAACAAACACAUAAUUAAUUUUGGGUAAUUAUAUUUGCAUCCCAAAAUUUGAUUAGUACAUCUCAUUUUUAAAAAAAUAAUAUAUAUAUAUAUUAUAUAUAUUUUUUCAACUUGUGCUUACAUUUUUCUAAAAAAAAGUUCUUUUUCAUUAAUUUUAUUACUCUGUAUUUCUUUGUUUGCGUUUCUGCAUUAAUUUUUCAGAGUUUUGUCAUUUGUUUGUUUGUUGUAUUUGUGUAUUGGUUAUUUGGUUCAUGUGUGUGGAGGUGC